GGUGGGGGGAAAGGAAAGCAAGAUUGCACGCAUGCGUAGUCGGCCCAAGCACGCUCUUUCUCCAUCCCUGCCCCGCCUCCUCUCUUCUCAACCGCUUUUCAAGAGCUGUUGGGGAAGUGUUUGGGCUUCUGACUCAAAGUGAAAGGACUGAGUAUAGGGAGUUGAACAUCACCGCUGUGACCACCUCUCUGGAUUUGUGACUACCUACAUAACUCAGUAUCCCUGAAAGUUAUAAUUCAGAUGUGUGAACUGGGCAUGGAUCAAUUACUGGAUAUCAAUUGAGUAUCAAGGAGCAAAAAAUACAAGGUAAAGAAUACAUACUUUUUACAUGUUCUUCAUAUAUUCUUAAGAAGACAACAUGAGCUGGGAAUUGGGGUUGGAAAUUUCAUCAAAUGGCAAAAGGAAUCUUGUACAAUAUAAGAACCCACCAUCUAUAUUUGGUUCAUUGAUCAAGCCUAUUUUGAUUUUGUCCAUCUUGAGUCUUCCACCAUCUUGCCUCUCCCUUUCAGCUUUGUGUCAGCUACAAAUAUGAUGAGUACCAUCAGUGUUCUUAUGUAAGUCAUUCAUAAAAAGGUUAAAAAGCAAAUAGUGAAGAAAAGAUCUUUGAGGUACUCCACUAGAAAUCUCCCAAGUUAAAAUUGAACGAUUAAGUGAUUACUAAUUAAAUUUAGAUCUAGCCAAUGAAUCACUUGUGAAUAUACUAAUCCACCAUCAUCUAUCCCACAUUAAGACAUCUUUUCCAUAAGAUUAGCAUAUAUAAAUUUUUCAGAUGAUUUGUGGACUUCUAGGUGUACUAUAACUACACCAUUAAUAGGAAGUAUGAUAAUUUCCCAUGAAUUAAAAUUUAGCCCAUAGGUCUGUGGUUCACAAAUUAUAUUAUGUUUCUUUCUCCCUCUGAAAAUUGGGACAUUUGUCCAGCUCCAGUCCAAUGGUACUUCUCUCCUUAUCUAUAUCUAUAUCAGUCUAUCCAUAAGCAAUUAACAUAAACAUUCUACAGUUGUGUAGAUCUGACUGUGUUUGAAAAAUGUUUUAUAGUUAUGUUCAUAUAGUUUGUCUUAGACUUCCAAACUUUUAUAUUGACUACAGCUAUUUUAAGUGGAAUUUUUCUUUUUAUCUCUUGUUGCUGGAUUUUGAUGGUAAUAUGCUGAUGGUUAUGCUGAUAAUAAUGUUGAUAAUUUAGAUGUGAAAUUUAGCUAAAGUUAUUAAUAAUUUCAAAUAGUUUUUUAUCGA